GCAACUUUUCUUGCAUUUAAGGCGCUCCCUUUUCUUAUGAUAGCACCUCCACAGAAGAGCAAGAAGAGUCCAAGAAUUUGGGUAUAUUUUAUAGAGAAAUGGAUGUACACCUCAGUCUUGAAAGCUCCCUUGAGUUAUUGAAGAGGGAGAAAGUUUUUCUACUGAUUUUAUUCAAGUGUUGCAGCACUCUAUUUAUAACUCAAAUUAUAACUCUAAUUAUAAGUCGAUAAUACAGCUAUACGGUUGAAAGCCAUACCGAGUAUUAGAUUUGCUUUUGAGUUGCAGCUAGUCUCUUAUUAUGUAUUUAAUGUCAAUUUUCCUCAUGAACUUAUUUGUGUAUAUAGAUUUAUGGGAUAUUUGCUUGGAAUAAACAACAAAAGAAUUAUCGUCAAUUCCUUUUAAAGAAAGUAUUGCCAAAAGUUUAAGAUUAAAUUAAGCAAUAUGUUUGUGAAACGAAAAAGUAUUUUUAUCACUUUCUUGUUUAUUUUUGUUAUAUCGUCAGCCGAGAACCAAGAGACCGUAUGUCUUUUUUUUUGUGUUUCCAAGAAAAUCAAGUUUCAAAUUUUAAUUUGCAAAGUCUUUAUGAAACACACACUCCUGAAUAUUUAUUGAUAAUGGACAAAAAAAAAAAAAAAACACAAAAUGUUGAUAUACGAUUCUUCUCUGACGGCGGUAUCUAUUUUUCAAGGUUUUAACUCGCUUUUGCAUAUAAAUGUUUUAAGACUUGUUUUUAAUUUUAUAUUCACUGAAUUGAGUUUGAGUUUGAACUGAGUUUAUAUACUUAAAAGAAAUACUAUAACAAUGUAUUGACUCGGAAUUAAAAUAAAAUUUAUAUUUCAGUU